UGCGUAGGCGGUUUGGUAAGUCAGAUGUGAAAUUCCUGGGCUCAACCGAGGAACUGCAUUUGAUACUGCCAGACUAGAGUACUGGAGAGGAGACUGGAAUUUACGGUGUAGCAGUGAAAUGCGUAGAUAUCGUAAGGAAGGCCAGUGGCGAAGGCGAGUCUCUGGACAGUAGCUGACGCUGAGGCACGAAGGCUAGGGGAGCAAACG
rnacentral:rRNA from 1 species